UGGGGAAUAUUGGACAAUGGGCGAACGCCUGAUCCAGCCAUGCCGCAUGAGUGAAGAAGGCCUUUGGGUUGUAAAGCUCUUUUAGUGAGGAAGAUAAUGACGGUACUCACAGAAGAAGUCCUGGCUAACUCCGUGCCAGCAGCCGCGGUAAUACGGAGAGGGCUAGCGUUAUUCGGAAUUAUUGGGCGUAAAGGGCGCGUAGGCUGGUUAAUAAGUUAAAAGUGAAAUCCCGAGGCUUAACCUUGGAAUUGCUUUUAAAACUAUUAAUCUAGAGAUUGAAAGAGGAUAGAGGAAUUCCUGAUGUAGAGGUAAAAUUCGUAAAUAUUAGGAGGAACACCGGUGGCGAAGGCGUCUAUCUGGUUCAAAUCUGACGCUGAAGCGCGAAGGCGUGGGGAGCAAACA
rnacentral:rRNA from 1 species